AACCCAUCUUGCUGCCGCUUUUCUGGUUUGCUUUAGAGUAAUUUUUAAAGUAAAUCCCAGGUGUUGGGGACCACCUUUCAUGCUGGGGGUUUGGUUUGUUUAUUUUCUUAGUGUCUACCUUUCCUUACUAAAAUUGGAGUUCGACAACAGCAGAGAUUUUUUUUCUUACCAUCUCUAAUCUUAGCGACAGCAUCUUUUAAAGGUCCUGGCAGGGACCUAGCUGGAGAGAUGGCUUGGCAGUUAAGAGCACUUGCUGGUCUUUUAGAGGACCUGGGUUCCAUUCUCUAACCACUCACAAGCGUCUGUAACUCCUGUUCCAGGGAAUCCAACAUCUUCUUCUGGCCUCCAGGCACUCAGAUGACUGAGAAGACCAGCCAUAUGAAAAUCUCCUAGGGAACAAGCUGAAAAUGAAAAGAUCCUGCUGAAUACAAGAGUUAGACUCUUUCUGGAGCGUGUUUGGGAAUCAGGACACAAGAACAGCAGUUUGCUUUGUCCCGGUACCACUGUGUGAAAAUGGAUGUCGGUGGAUAACUUGUUGGAGAGGAUUCUCUUGCUCUACAACAUGGGCUCAGGAGACUGAACUCAGCUCAUCAACCUUGGUGGAAGGCACAUUUAUCCUCCAAGCAAUGUUGCUGUUCCAAGAUUCACAUUUUAAUAAAGACCCAUGUUACCUGAC
ensembl:lncRNA